GACGUAGGGCGCGAGCGUUGUCCGGAUUUAUUGGGCGUAAAGAGCUCGUAGGCGGUGUGUCGCGUCGGCCGUGAAAACCUGCAGCUUAACUGUGGCUUGCGGUCGAUACGGGCAUCACUGGAGUUCGGCAGGGAGACUGGAAUUCCUGGUGUAGCGGUGAAAUGCGCAGAUAUCAGGAGGAACACCGGUGGCGAAGGCGGGUCUCUGGGCCGAUACUGACGCUGAGGAGCGAAAGCGUGGGGAGCGAACAGG
rnacentral:rRNA from 1 species